CACACACAGACACCGCUGCUGCUGUUGCUGCUGCUGCCACAAGCAGCUCCGGAGAGGAGGCUGCACUAAAAAUAUUCACCCAUUGACAGACUCCGAGAAGCAGGGCACAUGCUGGCAGGUAUUGAUACAACAACAACAGAAGCAACCCCACUGGCAUUGACGGCACUAGAGGCAACCUUAGAGAAACCCCCUGUCGCAUCAUAAGCGCCAGAAGCAACUAUCGGACGCACGCUGAGAGGACUGCCGACAACAGGCAGCCUUUCUAGCGACGUUACCCACCAACAACAACUCGAAGAUGGGCUGCUCUUCAGGUCGCCAAACCCCGGCGCCGGUACUUCACCCGGACUUGGACUGUGGGAACGGCAGCGAGGCCAACAGCUUACCGCAGGACUCGGAGAACCAGAAUCAGGCUUUGAAUGGCUUCAGGGAAGGAGAACCCAGACUUCCAGAGACUCUCCCCACGCUGGAGAGACUUGCCCAGGCUACAGGCGGGACAGAAAAGUCCUGGUACCGUUGUGUGUUCCCGUUCGGCGUGAUUUCGCUGGUGAUCGGCAUGGCGGGCACUGGGGUGACGUUCACUUUUAACACGCUGCUCCAGACCAAAGUGGUGUCGGUGGCUCUGCUGUGUGCGGGCGUAGUGAUGCUGCUCGUGGCGGCCGUUUGCUGGAGGGCCCACAGACUGAGGAAGAGGAAAAAGAAGGAGAGUGGAUUCUUCACCGCUGAUCAGGGCACUUUGUGAUGGAGGGUGGACUUCCCGUCAGAUCCUUUUCUUUGUCAGGACGGAGCACUUCAAGUUGGACUAUUUGAAAGAGAACUGAGAAAGAAGAAUUUGAUGUAGAGAAAUCAAUGUUUUUUCUGCUAUGCACUAGCACAGUGAUAAAGAGGGUAGAAGAGAUUAAUUGUACAGGAAACAUUGUGUGAGGGAAACUUUUUGAUGGCGUUGACUCAGACAGGAAGAUAUGUUUAUUCAGAAAAGGUUUAUCAUCAUUACCAUCUUGAACAGAAACAAAGUGUUGUGUCUAGAUGGUAACCCUAACCCUGCAUUUGCAAAGAAAUUGACGAAAACUCUCAUAAAACUCUAUUCUAACCACAAAGAUUCAAAACCAAUGCCUAACCUUGAACAUUCUUGCAAAAUCAAAGGUUACCACCUAGAUGUGAUUGAUGGCCAGGGUCAAUUGUACGCCCCUCUAAAAACUCCCCUUCUCCUGUUCUGCCUUCGUCUUUCUCAGUUAUGGAUUAACUUUAAUAGUGAGUGGAGGAUUCUUGUGUCAGAACAAUGUGGCACCUCAGGAAUAGUUAUAUACCAAUGGUUAUUUAUCUGCAGCCAAAGCAAAAUACGCCCAUGUUUUGCUGGUUAAACUGGGCAAUUGGCAUAUAUGGGGACAUCGUUUUUCCAACCAAGGUUAUCAUAAUAGUAAAAAGAGCUCAGGUCCACAAGUUCAUUCUGAUAAAACCCAGCCUGGAUGUGGAGGAUUUUCCUUCCCUGCACAAACCACAGUCUAGUUGCCCUUUUGCACGUAGGCCACUUAUUCUCUAACUGCUUCAGUGCACUCAUUAGUUGGAAGUGCAGGCCAAAUAACUCUAGAAACAGAGUAAUUCUACACAUGCACUCUCUCGUUUAUGUUUCCACCUGCACUCCAAUUUUGUAUUACGAGACACAAAGGUCAACACUUUUCUUUCCCUUCCUGCCACCAAGCUUUGUGGCGCAAAACCACAACCCAGCUGUGCCAGAUCAAUAGAAAAGUCCCACUCCAUGGAGUCUUAAGCUUCAGAGGUAAUGGACUGUAAGUCGCUGCACAUGAAAUUGCUCUCCACAGUCUUGGACCUGACGUAGAUGACUUGUACGUUGGAUGGAAGGAAGGAAAUCCCAUUAAAGCCAUGCUUCAGUGAACACACACCAACAAAGAAACAGAAUGGCCUGAUUACGCUUUUCGCCUCAUGCCGAGCUAACCAGAGGGAACACCACUUCACAUUUCCUUGUGAGCAUUGAGGGGAAAUCCGUUUGUUUCUAAAUGUGUAUCCGCUGCUCUCCCAUGAAGGAUUCACACUUUAGUUUAUAUAGGAGAUUGGAUAUGAGAAAUAGGCAUUGAGUUAAAUCCUAGCCGGGUGCAGGGAGGAUUAUCUUGUCAAUCCUCAUGUUUGAGCUUAGCUGUAUCACAGAGUGGUAGCUAUUGUGUCUUAAUGCCUUUGUCCUGGAUAUUGUCCUUUCUUGAACACCAUACACUAGAAUCAGAUGACUGUAAAGAUCAAUAUCAAUGUGUUUUGAAGCAACUAUAGCUAUCAGAUGGUUCUUUGUAAAGCAAAAACGUAGUUGUGGAUAAAAAAUGUAGCAGUGUGUUACCCACAGUAACUAUGAUGUGUAUGGUCUUUAGCACCAGGUGAGUGUUAAAGAAAACCCAGCAGCUUAUUGUCAGCUCUAGCGAUGUAUUUGUAUUUGUUGAUGAUAUUUGAUUUCUAUCUCUUUGAUAAACGGUGUACUGGACAUCACACGUGGUUCGAGUUUCUUCUGCAUGGAGUUGCAACGACAGCAACCUGUUAAAUUAGUACGUUUCCAUACAAUCAAAAUGCAUUGUCUAAUACAUCAGUGCUUCUCAAAGUGUGGUCCGCGGACCACUGGUGGUCCGUGAGCGCCCCCUAGUGGUCCGUGAGUAUAUUGGUAAAAUUUCACAUUUGAAAUAAAUAAAUACAUUUAAGUUUUCCGCACUCUCGCGGGAAUAUCUCCGCAAUGGAGUAAGGUUACGUUUUACUUUCAAUUGCAUGAUAUAGCCCAGCGCAACACCUUCAUCACACAUGUUGCCACUUGUUUGUACCAUUUUCAGGCGAUUUGUAAUCUGUUCUAGAAAAACGAUGUGUUUUUUUAUAUUUGUGGAGUGUUUUUUUAUUGGUUAAGUGGUCCUUGGUAUGAAAAAGUUUGAGAAACCCUGAUCUAAAAGAAACUCAUAUUUUCUCCAGGAGUUUGUAUGUUUUACAAAUAUAUUUCUAAUAUAAGCGAGGGAAGGUUUGGGUGGUUCGGUCAAAGGAACAUCGAACCUUCAAACCGGGGGCUGAUGUUCGUGACCCUUUUUUUAAGUUACAUAACGCAAGUUAAGUUAUGUAACAAACAUACCUUUUCAGAGUCUAAACAUGAUCUCAUUUCCAAACUUAACAAAAUUGUUUUGUGUUGAACAUUCCUACCAAAUAGAGUUGUUACAACACUUCCCAAGCAGCCUAUUCUCCUGACAAUUAAGCUUUAUUACGACUAAACUGCAUUGUUAUUUUAGUUGGUAAUGGGUUAGGGUUCGGUUAAAUAUUCUUUUUGUUAGAUCAACAUAUAUUUCCAAUCUAAGCAAGUAGAAGGAGUUGGUGGCUGGAUGGAUUAAACAAACCUCGAGCCUUCACAGGUUUUCACUCUGAUUUUAUUAGUUUUUUUCAGAGCACAACUAGGAUGGUAAAAAUGUUUGAGUGGGAUAAACAAACACCGUACCUUCACCCCCGAGGCCGAUGUUUGUGUCCUUUGUGAACCAACUUUCUUGAUCAAGGUUAAAUAAUAAUCUUUGACCAAACCUAACCACUUGGUUUUGUUGCGGUUUGGAUUUGUUUUCAACUUGUUCAAAACUGCAACUGAAAUCCAGGAGAAAAUAUGCUUUCCAUUCAACUUAACUGAGAAUGCUGCUUAGUUUUGGGGGAAUUUCAUAUUUAAGAACAGGACUGUCACAUAGUAAUGUUUACUGUGUGUGUGCACUCACCAAAGCUACACUUAAGCUGUUCCUUUUUGGUUUACCCGCUUUCUUUUCCAUGCCCUUUCACAGCUCGCUAAUAAAACCCAAGAUGAUCUAUGAUAAUCCCUCAGAGUAUUGACGUGUUCAUUCCUGUACACACACGUUGUCCUGAUAUACUGUGUAUUCUCCUUAUUAUGGACAUAUCAGAAAUACUGUAGGUACUGUGUCUUUCUAAAACUGUAGCAGCCUUUCUGAAUGUCCUUAGUGUCUUAUGAACAUCUUUGUACAGACUGUAUUUGUGUAUCGUCUGUUUUGAGUAGACACAGAUUUAGACACAGAGUUCAGUACGUAUCUAUCCCGGUCAGUCGCCCACACUAUUAUUUUAUUUGAAAAGCUCUCUGGUUGUAAUAAUAUCAAGUGUGUUGCUGUGAGUAUUAAUUAUAAUUGUUUCAUUCCAAAAUAACACAUCUGCCAUUUGAAGAUAUCAUAACAAAAGUGACAAUUUCUAUUAAAGUGAAGCACAUGAUUAUUAUUAUUAUGUUUUGUAACCGGUCACAAGUACAUUUCAGAAUGUAUUUUUUUAGGUCGAACUGAAAUAAACACCCAUGAUUUUCGAAUGAAACUAUUCCUUUUCUUAAGUGGCUGUGGUCAAUUUGCUUUGAGUGUGUUGGCAUGGCCCAGCUUUUCUCUGAGUGCCUUUUACUUGCAACAUAAAUAUUCCCCUGUUAGGUGAAUAGUAAGUAAUGUAAGAUGUAUGUACAGGCAAGCUGAUGCCAUUAUUGGAGUGGCUCAAGAGGCAGAAAUAUUUGUAUUCCUGUCAAAUUGGUCUGUAUACAUAACUCUACGCAAUGGUUUAUUUAGUUAAAAACAGAAAGAACGAAAUAUUUUUUUUUUUGGCUCAAGUGUGUUUCUCUGUUGUUUACUGUAAGCUGUUGAACUCCUGGAAUAAACACAAAUCCUUUUUGGAA